GUAGCGAAAUUCCUUGUCGGGUAAGUUCCGACCUGCACGAAUGGCGUAAUGAUGGCCAGGCUGUCUCCACCCGAGACUCAGUGAAAUUGAACUCGCUGUGAAGAUGCAGUGUACCCGCGGCAAGACGGAAAGACCCCGUGAACCUUUACUAUAGCUUGACACUGAACAUUGAGCCUUGAUGUGUAGGAUAGGUGGGAGGCUUUGAAGUGUGGACGCCAGUCUGCAUGGAGCCGACCUUGAAAUACCACCCUUUAAUGUUUGAUGUUCUAACGUGGACCC
rnacentral:rRNA from 1 species